rnacentral:rRNA from 1 species
GAUGAACGCUGGCGGCGUGCCUAAUACAUGCGAGUCGAGCGAACGGACGAGAAGCUCGCUUCUCUGAUGUUAGCGGCGGACGGGUGAGUAACACGUGGAUAACCUACCUAUAAGACUGGGAUAACUUCGGGAAACCGGAGCUAAUACCGGAUAAUAUUUUGAACCGCAUGGUUCAAAAGUGAAAGACGGUCUUGCUGUCACUUAUAGAUGGAUCCGCGCUGCAUUAGCUAGUUGGUAAGGUAACGGCUUACCAAGGCAACGAUGCAUAGCCGACCUGAGAGGGUGAUCGGCCACACUGGAACUGAGACACGGUCCAGACUCCUACGGGAGGCAGCAGUAGGGAAUCUUCCGCAAUGGGCGAAAGCCUGACGGAGCAACGCCGCGUGAGUGAUGAAGGUCUUCGGAUCGUAAAACUCUGUUAUUAGGGAAGAACAUAUGUGUAAGUAACUGUGCACAUCUUGACGGUACCUAAUCAGAAAGCCACGGCUAACUACGUG